rnacentral:lncRNA from 1 species
UUGUCUCUGCAGUUCUGCACGGGGAGUGGCUAUUGCGCAGCUUUCCAAGAAAAAUGCACAAUCCCCACGCAGGUGGUAGCUCCAUGUCUGAAAAACAGAAACAUUGAGAAAUGGUCAGAAGGAUGUUCUGGCUCCAUCCAUAGAAGGUUAAAAGAGAAUCCGCAACAGAGAAUGCCCAAGCCAACUAUCUGGCUGAGGUCGGCGUUCCUAUUUCUAAGCAAGAAUUCAUAGCGAGAUGUUUAAAAAAUGAAAAGAGUAUCUAACAAUGUGGCUCACAGAUUUUCUAGUACAGGGGCUUGAGCACUGUUUUAUCUUAUUUUGCAGGUUUCCUUUUUCUUUUAUCUUACCACACAUAAAACAAGCACUGCAAAGCGAUAAAUUGCCAUUUAAUAUUUUUUUCUUAUGCCAAAUUUGACACAGUGAAUCAAUAUGAAUGUAACUAUUUGUAUUUCAUAUGUAAUUUGUUUAUGAAAUGAUCGUAAGAUUACCUCGGGUGAAGAAUAACUUAUUCUGCACCCUGGGUGAUGAAUAGUAUAAAGACGAGAGCGGCACACCAACCUUUUCCAUUGAAGAAAAGAAAUGAAAUACUUUGUUUGCUGUGCAUUAGGCUUUAUCCAAAUUGUCAAGUUCAUCACGCCCACUUUGCUUCCGGUAAUGAAAAUAAAGGAACUGAAGAAUAAUCUGCAGAUAUGGUUAAGGAUUCUUCCAAUGCAACAGCUGAUUGAAAUCUGCUAUGAAUUGUGAUAUGGCAUAUCAUUGUACCACCGAC